UGUAAAUUUCCCACUGCUGGGCUAAAGGCCUCCUCUCCCUUUGAGGAGAAGGCUUGGAGCAUAUUCCACCAUGGUGCUCCUAUGCAGGUUGGUGGAAUACACAUGUGGCAGAAUUUCGUUGAAAUUAGACACAUGCAGGUUUCCUCACGAUGUUUUCCUUCACCGCCGAACACGAGAUGAAUUAUAAACACAAAUUAAGCACAUAACAAUUCAGUGGUGCCUGCCGGGGUUUGAACAAGAAAUCAUCGGUUAAGAUGUAUGCGAUCUAACCACUGGGCCAUCUCGGCUCUUAUUAAUUAUCUUAAUGAAAAAUAAGUUUCUUUUUCAUAAAAAUAUCAUAACAUUUUAAAAGUGGAAAGAACCCAAUUGUGUUUUCAGCAGUACAUAAAAAAUACAAUUUUUAAAGCUAACUAUAUGGCAUUAAUAAUAUGUAUUUAAUCACAACUAAAAGUAAAAAUCAAGCAAACUUUGGUAUUAAUUGUUAAAUGUCUAAGAAAUAUUUUGUUUAUUUUAAUGUACUAUGAAGUGAUAUAAUAUGUAAAAAUUUGAUAAAAAAAACUAUCUAUGUAAAAAUUAAAUACAUGCAUUUUUCAAUUUAACAUUAUAAUAUUGGAACUUCAUGAUGUUAAGUUUCUCUAUAAAUUAUAAUAUAAUAUAUACAUACAUUUAUAGUAUAUUUAGUUAUACCUAUUACUUUAGGAGUAUUUAGUGCUUUAAAUAGGUAUUGGUAAUAAGGUUAUUUACUAUAUUUUUUUCACUUUAGUCAUCCACUAACAGCAAAUUAAUACAAUGUAGUUGAAACAACAAUGUAGUAUAAACAUUAAUUUAUUAAAAACUGAAUGACAUUUAAUAUAUAACAUACCAAAUUAUCAAAAAGUAUAUUAUAAUAAAGUUAGUUUUUUAAUUACAUACAAAUGAAAUAAGUUAAUUUUUAAAUGUAAGACAAUAUUUUUACUUCUAUAUAAGUUUUUAAUUGGAAGUUCAAAUUUGAAUUUGCUGACAUUUAAUGUAUGGCAGUUUCAUAAUUAUAGGAUCUUUGUAUCUAUCAUGGUGUCUUCAUAUUUCUUUAUAAAAUAAAUUGUGAUCUUUGAUAAUAUUAAUAAUAUGAGAAUAUUUAAUAUUGUGUUACCGGGUUUAUUAACUUAGAAAGUGAGUCAGAUAAACUUUCUAGUCUAUUUUUAUUGUUACUUCUUGAAUUUUUAAUACAAAGAUUUUGGCUUAAAAACUGAGAGAGCAUGGUAAAAUUAUUAGAACAGACUAAAUGUCAUUAAAGAUGUAAUAUUUAAAAAAUCGUAUAUAAUGUAUAUUUUACUACACAUACUAUUUUGUAUAAAAUGAUAUUAUAAAAAAGUAGAGUUAAAAAGUUAUAUUCAGUGAUAUAAUUAAAAUUUCUAUAAAAUAGUUAUUUAUAUAACUCAUUUCAUUAUUGUUUUAUUUGGUUUAUUUAUGUUUAUGGUAUAGUAUUGGCAAUACCUACAUAGUAAUGAUACUUUAGUGUACUUCAAACUUCAGAUCCUUAUGGUACACUGUAAUCAUGUUAAUCAAUAUCUUAUUCUGAAUAAAGCAAACUGUUCUGCGAUCCAAUAGGCUGUGCUUAUCUGUAUAUAUCAUUUUAUAAGUCUUUGUUUUGUGUUAAGAUCUUAAUUUUGUGAAUUAAUAUUUUAAUAAUAAUAUUGUUUUACAUAGUUUUUAUGUCUGUAAAUGUUAUUUUUUGAAUAAUCAAAUUGUUUAUGAAUUCAAAUAAAAUGUAGAAUUAUUUUAAAA